rnacentral:rRNA from 1 species
UACGGAGGGUGCGAGCGUUGUCCGGAAUCACUGGGCGUAAAGGGCGCGUAGGCGGCCUGAUAAGUAGGGGGUGAAAUCCUGCGGCUUAACCGCAGGGCUGCCUUCUAAACUGUCAGGCUAGAGCACAGUAGAGGCAGGUGGAAUUCCCGGUGUAGCGGUGGAAUGCGUAGAGAUCGGGAAGAACAUCAGUGGCGAAGGCGGCCUGCUGGGCUGUUGCUGACGCUGAGGCGCGACAG